rnacentral:lncRNA from 10 species
GCUGGGCAGCACGAUGAGGAGCCGGUUGCCAGCCCGGGUCAGCCGGACACCAAAGCCUCUGGGUGCCGGAGAAGCUGCUGCCAGCGGAGUCCAAAGUCAGCUCCAUAGAAGAUGGAGCCCCCGACUCAGUGGCGUCCUCUGCCUGACUCUGUGUUCACUUCUAUAAUAAUCUCCACUCCCUGGGAGCCUGGGGAGCUGGAGGCCAAGCUGGUUCGAUAAGGACCUGCCAUUUGGACAGGACGGGGACGCUGACAACGAUCCAGAGUCACUGGCUGCGUCCUACAUGCAGGGCCCUAUUCAAAGCCUCCACAGCACUGCUCAGCCCAUCUUCCUCACAGUACUGCUCAGCCCGUCUUCCUAACAGCACUAAGCAGGCAAUGCUGCCACCAUCCCCUUUCCAGACCAGAACCCCAAGACUCAAGAGUGGUGGAAUAAUCAGCUCAGACUCCCAGCUGACAUGUGGUGGCACGUGCUCUGGGGUUCCCGGGGUGCUGUAGGGAGCCGGCGCGCAGCUCUCUCGUCCAGGACACACGAGCAGGAGUGACCUGCGUCCAGAAGGUCCAUCACUAGCCCUGGCCAUGUGCUGAGCACCCAGGCGAUGCCACGUGGAAUCCAGGUGAGACAGUCAGCACCACCUCCAUCUGAUGUGUUAGUCUGAAGGCAGCGUUACGUGUUGCAUCUAUUAGACACCAACCCCACACAGAAAACACUGGAAAUCUGGAUACAGUGACAGACACAUACGGAGGGAAGAAGAUGUGAAGACAGAGAGAAGACCGUCAUCAACAAGCCAUGGAAUGCCAGAGGCCACCAGCAGCUGAGAGAAAGGCCUGCACAGACGCUCCCCACAGCCCUCAGAAGCAGCCAGCCCUGCUGACACCUUGAUCUCAGGCACCAGGAACGGUGAGACAAUACGUUUUUCUUACCCUAAGCCACCCCAUCUGUGGCCCUGUGUUAUGGCAGCCCUAGGAAACGAACACAAUUCCCUAGGCCGUACCCACCCGCUGCCUUGCUUUACACGGCUUUAGAUAUUUGCCACACCCAUGUUUCUUCUGCUUUAUCUAUGAUCAACCUAAAAGUUUUUAAAGCUUCCUCUGGACAUUUAAAGAGAGGUCCUGAGAUCCACUGGGCCUCGGUCACCUGUCCUGUAUGCCUGUCAUCCUGAGGCACUGCACGAGCACCGCACAAUGACAGUCCAAACAGAGACCAGAGCUGGGCAGGCCAAGUCAGCCCAGACCUGCCAGUAAGAAGCUGAGAGUUCCAGAGGCUGGGAAGGGUAGGGAGAAGGUAGGGGCUGGAGAGAUUUGCUAAAGGAUACAAAAUUACAGCCAGGUAGGAAGAGUAAGUUCCAGCACUAUGGUCACCUAGACCACUGUAGGGUGACUGCAGUUAACAAUAAUACACUACACAGUUUCAAACAACAUCCAUAUAUUGGAUGUUCCCAGCACAAAGAAACGAUUAAUGUUUGAUGGAGGCUAACCACCCUGAGCUCAUCACUCUACAUGACACAUGUCGAAACUUCACUAUGUACCCCAUGAAUAUGUACAAUUACUGUCAAUUCAACUAUAUAUGUGUGUGUGUGUGUGUGUGUGUGUGUGUGUGUGUGUGUGUGUGUGUGUGUGUAUUUUAAAAGCUGGAGGGCUAGCUGCCCCCAAAUAUGGUUCAGGAAGCCAGGAAAAAGAGCCCCAUCUUAUGCGCCUACAUACAAAAGGGAAGAAGCUUGUCGGCCGAGUUACCAUCCAAAACCCUUUUGGCUUGGUAGUGUUUGGGGAGGAUGAAAGAAUAAAGCCGCAGAUCUUUUCAUUACUCCUGCAUCUCCUCCUCUCUCUUCUUCAACGCUCGUGCCAACCCCCCAUUCCCACUUUACACCGAGGAAAAGUGGAUUGAGAGGUGGAGGGAUCUGCCUGGGGCCAUGUGGCUGGCAGGUGGCAGAGUAGGGACUUGGGUCCUUGCUCCCCUGCUGCCAAUGCCCGGAGGGUUUCAAAAGCAGCUCAGGUCUGUGGUGCGAGAGGGAAGGCGGCCGCACUGAGUGCUGUCAGAGCAAACGGGCGUCCAUUCUGCUGCUCUCCUGUCAGUGUGGACUCUGUCUCUCUAACUGCGCCAAGGGUUUCCAGUCACUGUGCUCUCAAGAGUGACAGUCAUUAAAUCAGCAUAGCCAGCAUCUCCACA